GAUGAACGCUGGCGGCGUGCCUAAUACAUGCAAGUCGAGCGAACGGACGAGAAGCUUGCUUCUCUGAUGUUAGCGGCGGACGGGUGAGUAACACGUGGAUAACCUACCUAUAAGACUGGGAUAACUUCGGGAAACCGGAGCUAAUACCGGAUGAUAUUUUGAACCGCAUGGUUCAAAAGUGAAAGACGGUCUUGCUGUCACUUAUAGAUGGAUCCGCGCUGCAUUAGCUAGUUGGUAAGGUAACGGCUUACCAAGGCAACGAUGCAUAGCCGACCUGAGAGGGUGAUCGGCCACACUGGAACUGAGACACGGUCCAGACUCCUACGGGAGGCAGCAGUAGGGAAUCUUCCGCAAUGGGCGAAAGCCUGACGGAGCAACGCCGCGUGAGUGAUGAAGGUCUUCGGAUCGUAAAACUCUGUUAUUAGGGAAGAACAUAUGUGUAAGUAACUGUGCACAUCUUGACGGUACCUAAUCAGAAAGCCACGGCUAACUACGUGCCAGCAGCCGCGGUAAUACGUAGGUGGCAAGCGUUAUCCGGAAUUAUUGGGCGUAAAGCGCGCGUAGGCGGUUUUUUAAGUCUGAUGUGAAAGCCCACGGCUCAACCGUGGAGGGUCAUUGGAAACUGGAAAACUUGAGUGCAGAAGAGGAAAGUGGAAUUCCAUGUGUAGCGGUGAAAUGCGCAGAGAUAUGGAGGAACACCAGUGGCGAAGGCGACUUUCUGGUCUGUAACUGACGCUGAUGUGCGAAAGCGUGGGGAUCAAACAGGAUUAGAUACCCUGGUAGUCCACGCCGUAAACGAUGAGUGCUAAGUGUUAGGGGGUUUCCGCCCCUUAGUGCUGCAGCUAACGCAUUAAGCACUCCGCCUGGGGAGUACGACCGCAAGGUUGAAACUCAAAGGAAUUGACGGGGACCCGCACAAGCGGUGGAGCAUGUGGUUUAAUUCGAAGCAACGCGAAGAACCUUACCAAAUCUUGACAUCCUUUGACAACUCUAGAGAUAGAGCCUUCCCCUUCGGGGGGGACAAAGUGACAGGUGGUGCAUGGUUGUCGUCAGCUCGUGUCGUGAGAUGUUGGGUUAAGUCCCGCAACGAGCGCAACCCUUAAGCUUAGUUGCCAUCAUUAAGUUGGGCACUCUAAGUUGACUGCCGGUGACAAACCGGAGGAAGGUGGGGAUGACGUCAAAUCAUCAUGCCCCUUAUGAUUUGGGCUACACACGUGCUACAAUGGACAAUACAAAGGGCAGCGAAACCGCGAGGUCAAGCAAAUCCCAUAAAGUUGUUCUCAGUUCGGAUUGUAGUCUGCAACUCGACUACAUGAAGCUGGAAUCGCUAGUAAUCGUAGAUCAGCAUGCUACGGUGAAUACGUUCCCGGGUCU
rnacentral:rRNA from 1 species